AAUGCACAUAAAAUGGCCCCUAUCUCUAUGAAACCCUAAGUUUCCCCCAAAAGCGCUACCAUGGCCCUAGCUUCCAGUGUUCGCCUUUCUUCCUCCAUCCUCCGCUACCGCCUCGCUGCCCCACUCUACCCGACCCGAUUUUCCAGUCUCCGUCACAACCUGUCGGAGCUCCGCUUCCUGUCCGCAUCGUCCUCCCGUCCCGGGACCCACAUCCGCCCAAUCAAAGCGAGGCUCCAGGACGACCCCAAAAAGGAGGACCCAGGCGAGGGGCAGAACGGGAAUGGAAGUGUGCUGGUCAAGGACACAAGUGAGAACAGCGAAGAAAGAAUCGUUCGUGUUGAGCUCCACAAGGAGGCCACUGAAGCGUACAUGGCUAUGUCUGUCCUGCUCGGCCGCGCCCUGCUGGAUGUUCGCGACGGUUUGAAGCCGGUGCACUGUCGUAUUUUGAUUUCUCCCUACGAUUCCCACUAAUUCAAGGGCAUGGGAAUUUCGGGUUGAUUGAUGCUGAUCCUGCAGCUGCCAUGCGUUACACAGAGUGCAGAUUGGAGGCAUGUUCAGAUAUUUUAGUUACUUUAACACUUUGGCAUGGCAACCAACAUUCCUCAGCAUAAUCUUGGAGAGUUGGUAGAUGUUCUUAGUGUGUUAAUUCACAAUCCAGAAGCUACGUAUUCAUAAUGGGCAAACUAAGCAGAUGGGUCUAAAGGAGUUGCUGCAGCAGAUUCUAAACACGCGUCCAAAGGAUCAAGAGCUCUGGGGACAUCAGAUCAGAUUAUGGUAUUAAAGUAUUGGAAAAUGCCGAAGGCGAACUAGUGCGUUCACUUGAGAAUCGUGGAGUUUCAGCAAGUGAGGAUGGUAUUAAGGUACUAGAAAAAACAUUCACUUGAGAAUCAUGAAGUUUUUGCCUUUGGGCUAUCUUCCUGAAAUGUUGGGAAGGUAAAAUUGUUGCAUUAGAUUUAUCAAGCGAUUCAAAUUUACUAAGUGAUUAGAAAGGUUGUUAACUAAAAAAAUUAUGUUGCAAGAAUCCAUAAUUGACACAUUUAGUACUUCCAAUUCUGCCCAUGAAACAAACAACGAAGUGCUCAAAAUCGAGGUUUUAGUAGUAAAGGAGCAUGAUACCUUGCGUUAAGUAAGGGAAGUUCUUUCAAGAGCCAUGUUGGACUUGGGUUCGUUGGAAACAAGGCUAGCAUUUCAUUAUUCAUACGAAGAUACCCCUUUCAUGGUAUCUUGUGAUACACUUGAGCAUCCUAACAUGAUCAUUAUGGACAACAGUUUUGUUGUUUAGUUAGGUUUGGUAAAAUCAAGAUACAUGUGGACGGAUGACGUGGGAAGAAGUGAGGACCGGAGGUUGUUGUGAUGGUGGUUACAGUGGUGUGAGCUGGUCAUGUAGAGAACGAAGAAGUGUAGGCUUUGAGGGAAUAAUGGAAAUAAGAUGGCAAAAUAGCUUUUUCUUUUCUUGGGUUGAUUGAUUUUGUGUUCUUAGGGGAGUAAUACGAUGAUCUAGAAGAGAUUGCCUCUUUACUUUGGAGCUGCUUUGACUUUGCAAAAGGGAGGAAAGACGGAGUCUAUUUAGGAACUGCUCGGUCGCACAAAAGAGAGGAGGGACUUGACCUUUCAUGUUUCCUAGCUGCCUAUACAUAAAUCUCAAUAUUAGAGGAGGACUAACAGCUGAGAGUAGUACUUUAUUGUUCUUGGGCAACAAGAAAUCAGAGUCAAAGCAGCUCCAAAGUAGAGGGGCAAUAUGUUCUAGAUCAUCGUGUUACUCUCCUAAGAACACAGCAUCAAUCAGCCCAAGAAAAGGAGAAGCUAUUUUGCCACCUUAUUUCCAUUGUUCCCUCAAAGCCUUCAGUUCUUCGUCCUCUACAUGACCAGCCCACACCACUGUAACUACCGUCACACCAACCUCCGGUCCCUACUUCUUCCCACGUCAUCCGUUCACAUGUAUCUUGAUUUUACCUAACCUAACUGAACAACAAAACUGUGGUCCAUAACGAUCAUGUUAGGAUGCUCAAGUGCAUUACAAGAUACUAUGAAAGGGGUAUCUUCGUAUGAAUAAUUAAUUGCUAGCCUUGUUUCCAACAAACCCAAGUCCAACAUGGCUCUCGAAAAAGCUUCCCUUAUUUAACGCAAGGUAUCAUACUCCUAUACUACUAAAACCUCGAUUUUGAGCACUUCAUUGUUGUUUUAUAGGCAGAAUUGGAAGUACUAAAUGUGCCCAUUAUGGAUUCUUUUAACAUAAUUUUUUUAGUUAACAACCUUUCUAAUCACUUAGUAAAUUUGAGUCUCUUGAUAAAUCUAAUGCAACAAUUUUACCUUCCCGACAGCUCAAAGGCAAAAACUCCAUGAUUCUCAAGUGAAUGUAGUGGUUGAACACCUUCGGCAUUUUCCAGUACCUUAAUACCAUCCUCACUUGCUGAAACUGCUAGCAUUCUUCCUUCCUUUUUAAAUUGUAAACAAUGAGAAUCCUAACACAGAUAUUAAAUCAAGUGUUCUUUCAACUCUAACAUUAACCUCGAAA